CUGUGAUAGUGCUGCUGCUCGAUUGCGGUAGAAUGACAGCUAAAAUGUCACGAUCGCAAUCGCCUCUGAUUGGUUAACGCUCGCUCACCAUUGGCUACAAUGCAUUGUUGCAACGAGAAUGUCAUAAAUUCUGCCAAUCACAACAAUUGCGAUUGUAAUAAUGAUUGAUGCAGGUUUCCCGCAAUCGACCAACCGAAAAUGAAACU